rnacentral:rRNA from 1 species
UGGGGAAUUUUGGACAAUGGGCGAAAGCCUGAUCCAGCAAUGCCGCGUGUGUGAAGAAGGCCUUCGGGCAGUAAAGCACUUUUGUCCGGAAAGAAAUCCUUGGCUCUAAUACAGUCGGGGGAUGACGGUACCGGAAGAAUAAGCACCGGCUAACUACGUGCCAGCAGCCGCGGUAAUACGUAGGGUGCAAGCGUUAAUCGGAAUUACUGGGCGUAAAGCGUGCGCAGGCGGUUUGCUAAGACCGAUGUGAAAUCCCCGGGCUCAACCUGGGAACUGCAUUGGUGACUGGCAGGCUAGAGUAUGGCAGAGGGGGGUAGAAUUCCACGUGUAGCAGUGAAAUGCGUAGAGAUGUGGAGGAAUACCGAUGGCGAAGGCAGCCCCCUGGGCCAAAUACUGACGCUCAUGCACGAAAGCGUGGGGAGCAAACAGGAUUAGAUACCCUGGUAGUCCACGCCCUAAACGAUGUCAACUAGUUGUUGGGGAUUCAUUUCCUUAGUAACGUAGCUAACGCGUGAAGUUGACCGCCUGGGGAGUACGGUCGCAAGAUUAAAACUUAAAUGAAUUGACGGGGU